UACGUAGGGCGCAAGCGUUAUCCGGAAUUAUUGGGCGUAAAGAGCUCGUAGGCGGUUUGUCGCGUCUGCCGUGAAAGUCCGGGGCUCAACUCCGGAUCUGCGGUGGGUACGGGCAGACUAGAGUGAUGUAGGGGAGACUGGAAUUCCUGGUGUAGCGGUGAAAUGUGUUGAUAUCAGGAGGAACACCCAUGGCGAAGGCAGCAAACUGGGCAUCAUCUGACGCUGAGGCGCGAAAGCGUGGGUAGCAAACAGG
rnacentral:rRNA from 1 species